AUAGCUUUGCUGUGCACACUGAAGGAAGGCUCCAUUUUCUGGGAGGACCAGAGGCCUUGGGCGGAUAAGUAUGGCCUGGGACACACCCACUAUAUUUGAUCACUCUUGAUGGGGGAGGUGCUGAAGAAGGCUAACUGCAUACUGAGGGAAGACAUCUGUCUCUUGUGAGGACUGGAGGUGCUUGGAAAUCCUGUGAUGAGUGUGGCAUGCAUCGUGCCGACUGCAAGUGGGUCACUCUGGAUGGGGAGAGCCGUGAUAUGUGUGUCGUGCAUGCAGAUGGAAGAGCUUUGUUUACUGGCAGGACUGGAGG